CAGCAUUCACUUGAUAUCUGGCAUGCUGCAAAAAGUCUGAGCAAGAGACUUUUCCGGGCUGGGUCCAAAAAGGAGCACAGUGGCAUUCUGGUGUGGACAAGGGACAUAGUCAACCAUUUUUGGUUUUGCAGCAAGGAGGCAGAAAGUGAGGAGCAGUUCAAGCUGACGUGGGUUGGUGUGCUACACCACGUUCGUAAUGAACAUGUUUGGGCCACCGGCUGUUGUGAACAUGAGCCCCUGGACGGAGACAGUAGAGAUAAGCCCUGGAUCGUACAAGGUUCUGCAUGUCACAAGGCACUGACUGCAAUCGUGCUGGAAAAUAGGUUUUUGAACCUGGUGAAGAAGUUUCUUAACUUCAGGAGAGCAUUUUCGUUAGUAUUACUUUUAGAUGCACCACAUGAUUUUGAUGUCACCACCUGAUUUCACUAAGCAAAGAAUUAGGAGUUUGAUGCAGUUGGUCAGGUCUUGGUUCAUCAACAUGUACUCCAAGAAUUAGGUGAGAACCUGAAUGUACUG